CCACAUAUUUAACCCAUAACCACUCCACCCCAACCCACCUGGGCCAAAGCCCAGGCCCGGUAAGGACGUAGUCAAGCCCGCGAGACCAGGGCGCUGUUUAAUUGGGUUCGAAGUGAAGGCCAGCACCCUGAAGAAUCUAAUCCGUCUCUCCCGUCCAAAGUGGUAAGAAGUGGUACUAUUUCAACGGACAUUCCGUAAUAGCCCGCAACCAAGGGUGCACAAAAAAAAUAAAAUAAAAUAAAAUAAACUUAAAAAUAAAAACCCCGGCCA
rnacentral:lncRNA from 1 species